rnacentral:lncRNA from 1 species
GCAUAAUAUAUAUAAUUAGGGGUGAACUUGUGAUGGCACAUGAAUGGAACUCAAACAAACAAUCAUAUGUAGACAAGACAUGUGUUUGUCUUUUAUUCCCAAGUUUGAACUAGUAUAGUUCGGGUUCUUACAUGAUAGUGCAUGUCACUUUAUUUUUUCACUGCUACAACGACCAAACCAUGGACUAAGAAAACGGUGUUUCAUAUAUCUAGUACUAGAGUUCUUCUCUUCUCAGUUGGUACCAAAGAUGCCAAAUGGCGCAAUGGUGGUCGAGCAAUGUGGAGGGAUGUAGACAUUGCACAUUGCAGGUAGCGUCUGUAGCGCUAGGUUCCUUAUUUCCGCGAACUGGGGCAGUUGUUGAGGUUGGACGGAGCCCUGAGCCUGUGGGUUUAGCUGAGAUGGCUGGAAGGAGACCUGGCUUGAUGGAUAUUGCUGCUGAGGCUGUUGGAAGGAGACCUGGCUCGACGGUUGUUGUCGUUGUUGUUGCAGUUGCUGCUGUUGUUGUUGUUGCAACUGUUGUUGUUGUUCUUGUUGUUGUUGUUGUUGUUGAUGCAUAAUAAUAGCAUGAGCAACAUUAUGGAUGGCUUGGCACCUCGACUGCUCAGGGAUCUGCAACAGUUGUUGACAACACAAUUGUUGCAAUAGCUGGUAAGUACUUUGUUGCAAAACUUGUGAGCUUGCAUGCGCUAUGUUGUGUUGUUGCAAGACAACAUCCCUGCAUGGAAUCAGUUGUUGUUGCAAAAUUUGUUGAAGGAUUUGUUGUUGUUGUUGUUGUUGUUGUUGUUGUUGUUGUUGUUGUUGUGCUUGUUGCUGCGAAAUUGGUUGUUGUGGUUGUAGAUACUGUGGUUGCUGUUGUGGAUAUGGUUGUUGUGGUGGAAAUGAUUGCGGCUGCGGAUAUGGUAGUUGUGGCGGAAAUGGUUGCGGCUGCGG